GAAGGGGCGUCCCUUCCGCGGUCAACAGCCAUCAGGCCGUUCUGCAAAGGGAUUUUCCAGCACUGUCGCUUUCAGCCCGAAACAGCUCUGCAAGUUCAGCUUCAGAAACUGAGUUUCUGGGUGGGGGCGGGGAGGUGCACCCAGGGUCUUCAUCCAGGAGCCUGGAGUGAGGUCCGGGGAAGGGGUCUCCCGCCCACCCGCCCUCCGUACCCCUCCUUCAGCCAUCCUCCCUGUGCUCCCGGUGCAGGAGUGGAAGGUGUCGCUGUCUGGGGCCGUGUGUCGUAUGGGCCCCCGACAGUGCCCUGCGUGGUGGUCCUGGCAGGUGCUUGGGCACUGCCCAGCAGCUGCGUGGGCCGCUCAGCCUUUCUCCUUCUGUGUCCAUCGGGGUCCGGUGUGAGAGCAGGCCCCGCCUGACCACUCCAGGUGGGGCUCUCAGAGACAAUGCAGAACCAGCUGGAUGGGUGAGGAGUUGGGGCCACCUCUGGGAUUGUUGGUUUAGGGGAACAUGAGACCCAGGGGCCAGAGCUGCGGCUGCACCUGGUGGCUCCUGAGUCAACAGCGAAAACAGACGCCGUGCCCCCAGCCUCGACGUCCCUGCAGCUGCACUGGUCUCUGGACACUGAGCAGCGAGGCCGAAGGCUGGCAAACGUGCCCGGCAGCAGGACAGUGGCCUUGUCUGCCACCGAAGCUCAGCGCCGUGCCGCUCAGUACAGGAUGUGCACGAGAGCCCCGUGGGCUGGGAAGGCGGUUAGGCCGGCCCCGGGCCUCCCCGCAGCUCGCCCCAAGGGGGUCUGCCCAUCUUCCUCUCUGGGCCCUGUUCCCUUCCCUUUCCUUUUUGCCCGGCCACCCCGUUUCUCUCACAGGUGGCUCCCCCAGCAAGUCCUUGCAGGGUUAACCAGACUCGGCGCUGCUUCUCGGAGGACCUGACCAUCGCCUGCCCUCUGGAAGCAUCGCCUCAAUGCCUGGGCAGCUGGCACUCUGGGAACCUGGCCUGCCACAGGCUGCCUUUCAGGCCAUACAUGGGCUCCAUGGCCAGGGGCCGUCCCUGUGGGCCUGGGUUCUGGGUCCUCAGGUCUGCGGCGGCCGCUCCUGGCUGGCGCUUGGGGCAGGUGUGGGAAAGCAUGGGUGGAGCUUCAAGGCGGGGUGGGCGCUGAGUGCCCUCCCUGAGACCCGCAGGCCCACAGCCCUGUUUCUUCAGCACUCAAGGACAAACCACAGGCCUGUGACCCUGUGGCCUAUGACAGGCCUGGACCCAGGCCCAGCGACACUGCAGCCCUGCAGCUCCGUCCACGGGUCCCAGGGAGGAUUUGGGGCUCAGCCUGCUGUGCGUCCGGGAGCUUCCGUGGGGCUCAGGUGGAGAAACUGAGGCUGAGAGACUAGAUGACUUGCUGACGGUGGCUGCUGAGUGGUGAGAACAAAGUCCAGCCUUCUUCCACCUCCUGUGCUUCGGCCCCGAAACAGCCCACGGCUGAAGAGGAGUUCAGCCGAAGAGGAGGGUGCUGUGCUACACGUGACCUGCCACGGAGGCUGCUGAAGUGCAGGAGCUGGAGAACCUGACGCAGGGCGCUGGAGGAGGCGGGACCCUGGUCUUGCUGGGUGACAGCCGAGGCCCUUGGAGGAAGCGGGCUGCGGGUCUGGUGUCCCCGUGCAGACCCCACAUAAGGCCUCGUGUGGAGUCCCACGCCAGGGCUUCUCCGUGUUGGAGUCGACUGGAAAUGCCUGUCCACCUCUCAUUCCUCGGGGGUUGGGCCUCUCCCUCCAACCAGUCCUUAGAUUGAGAGAAAGGAAAGCCAUCUGGGGACGAAAGGUCGGGAGAGAGAAGGGACGUCCACCAGCAGCCUACUCUCCUUAUGGCGUCUUCUGAG